rnacentral:lncRNA from 1 species
CCCCAAAGUGUUGCUUGCGAUUACAGGCUUGAGCCACCGCUCACCCUGGCUUUUUUUUUUUUUUUUUCCAGACAAACUCUCGCUCUGUCGCCCAGGCUGGAGUGCAGUGGCGCGAUCUCGGCUCACUGCAGCCUCUACCUCCCGGGUUCCAGCGAUUCUCCUGCCUCAGCCUCCUGGGUAGCUGGGAUUACAGGCGCAGGCCACCACGCCCGGCUAAUUUUUGUAUUUUUAGGGGGUUUCGCCAUGUCGGCCAGGCUGGUCUCGAGCUCCUGACCUCAGGCGAUCCGCCCGCCUCGGCCUCCCAAAGCGCUGGGAUUACAGGCGUAAGCCACCGCGCCGGGCUCUUUCAUUCUGUCUUUAUUUUCUGAGAUAGAGUCUCGCUCGGACGCUCAGGUUGGACUGCAACGGCGUGAUCUCGGCUCGCUGAAACUUCCGCCUCCCGGGUUCAAGCGAUUCUCCUGUCUCAGCCUCCCGAGUAGCUGGGAUUAUUGACGGGCAGCACCACGCCCGGCUACUUUUUGUGGUUUUUGUAUCUUCUGUCUUCUGCUCUUUA